AAGUAACCGUUGCUUUGUUGAGCGACCUCUACUAAAAAUGGCGUGUCGUAAUUAGCCUACGCAUUGACAUUGUUCACCGUUUGUUUGCGAGUUCCUUUGGAAUAAAUUGUCAAUCAAUCCUGACAAUAAUUUCUUCAAUUGAAGGAUCGUAGUUAAAAUCAGGUUGGACCACACUACUUCAAGACUACGAAAAAAUGUGAAGUCUUUGGUGUUUGCUGUGAAGGUACUGGAAAACAGGUGUUUUACUUGGCGAAUGAGGGUGAAUCACCCGGGAAAGGCGCCAACACUGUUGUUAGCUAUGUACAUUACUAGCUUCAUCACUAUGGCCUAGGGGAGGAAGAGGCAGUUUUCUACUUUGACAAUUGCUGAACAAAAUAAGAACAACUGUGUACUUUAGUAUGCAUUGUGGAGAGUUAGUGUUGGGCUGCACACUCGAAUGAGAUACUCGAUGAUGGUGACUGCGGCCACAUCAAGUUCUAGCCUGAUUGGCAUUUUGGAUUAUGGAAGUCAAAGUACUUUGUGAUGCAGAGACCAUCGAAGCUGUUGCUGAGACUGUAUCUACCUCCUCAAGGUCUGGACUUGAUGUGCCGCACAUGAUUGGUGAUUAUGAGAAGCCUGUGCACCUAUACAAUUGGAAAACUUUUCUUGCCCAGUUGUUCAUACACUUGAAGAACAUUUGAAAGUACCAACAUUUCCUCAUUGAUGCUGCUAAACCAGGCUUGGUAUUUUGUAAAACAAGUGAAAAAUCUACAGUUGAAACUCAUUGUUGUUAAACUUUAAAGAGUGCUGACCUCUUAGCAUCAAUGUCUAGCCAGUCUUGCCCAGCCUGAAUGAAAUUACCUUGACUCAGUAUCGCCUGACAAUGGUACCUUUAUGAGGAAAUAGGGCAGUUUUUUUUAAUCAGACCUCAGUAGACAAGCUACCUGUCCCAAGCCGAAGUAAAAAAAACAAAAACUGUCUGUGUAACUCAGAAGUUGCAAAAAACAUGUGCCCUGUCCUAUCCUUGUUUGUUUUAAGGUUGAAAAUUGUAUGAUCCUGUUUGUUAAAUAGCCUUACAUUAUUUGUUUUGAUUACCAAGUUAUAUGUUAUUGUUUACCAUAUAAACUGUUCAU